rnacentral:rRNA from 1 species
GAUGAACGCUAGCGGCAGGCUUAAUACAUGCAAGUCGAGGGGCAGCAGGGCGGUAGCAAUACCGUCGCUGGCGACCGGCAAACGGGUGCGGAACACGUACGCAACCUACCCAUAACUGGGGGAUAGCCCGGGGAAACCCGGAUUAAUACCUCGUACCAUUACAAGGUGGCAUCACCUUAUAAUGAUAGCUCCGGUGGUUAUGGAUGGGCGUGCGCCUGAUUAGGUAGUUGGUGUGGGUAACGGCCCACCAAGCCUUCGAUCAGUAACUGGUGUGAGAGCACGACCAGUCACACGGGCACUGAGACACGGGCCCGACUCCUACGGGAGGCAGCAGUAAGGAAUAUUGGUCAAUGGAGGCAACUCUGAACCAGCCAUGCCGCGUGAAGGAUGAAGGUCCUC